UUCUCUCUCGUCUCUUUCUCUCUUUCUCCUCUCUCUCGUCUGUCUUCUCUCGCCGUGGAUUCUUGGGAGGGGAGCUAAAUAUUGGGCUUCAGAUCUGCAACAGUUCUGUUAGACGGUUUGGGGUUUUCCGUGUUGGAGAAAGUCUGCUUAUUUAAGAUUCAUUUUAUAGAAUUUAUUGCCUUUUUUUAUCGCUCUAUUUAGGGUUUUUGAUUAAUCUGGGGUUUUCAAUAUAUUGGUUGGGGCAUUACUGAUUUACUUUUGAAUAAUGUGCAUGCUAAAUUAAUCAUCAUUCCAGUAUUUGUGAAACAUUCUGCUUAUCAACCAUGGCAGCAUUAUGUUCAGAGACAUGGUCUCCUUUUGAUGAUUCAGUAAUUGUAUUUUAUCAUUGGUGUUUAGUUGUCUUGAAGUUGUUAUGGUCACGGAAUAGGAGAGGAUAAUUAAUGGUGAAUUUAACCUUCUUUUUAGAUUACACCAGUCUUGAAAGGGAGUUGCAGAAUACAAGGACCUGUAGAUGAGGUAGAACAUGACAAUCAGAAGAAUACGGUAGGAAUUUUAAAUGUUUGAUCUGCAAUGCAUUGGCAAUUGGACUUCUAGUAUGAAUCAACAUGGUUAAUACCGCUCGGGAGAAAUUGGCCUGCAAGUGUGCAAUAGAUUAAAAAAGCUCAACCAUGUUGGCAUUGAUCUGCUCGGUUGUGCUGUUGAUCGUUGUAGCUGUUCUUGUUUUUUAACUAAUGGUGCUUCAGUUUCACCAAUGCUUCUCACCUUUGUAUUAUCCCAGUUCCAAAAGAAGGCCCCUUCAUUUGAAAUUAAAACUUUAACCAAGAAGAUGAUAGAGUGAUGGAAAGCUGAAA